rnacentral:rRNA from 1 species
AGGGUGAGUCGACCCCUAAGGCGAGGCCGAAAGGCGUAGUCGAUGGGAAACAGGUUAAUAUUCCUGUACUUGGUGUUACUGCGAAGGGGGGACGGAGAAGGCUAUGUUGGCCGGGCGACGGUUGUCCCGGUUUAAGCGUGUAGGCUGGUUUUCCAGGCAAAUCCGGAAAACCAAGGCUGAGGCGUGAUGACGAAGCACUACGGUGCUGAAGCGACAAAUGCCCUGCUUCCAGGAAAAGCCUCUAAGCAUCAGGUAACAUCAAAUCGUACCCCAAACCGACACAGGUGGUCAGGUAGAGAAUACCAAGGCGCUUGAGAGAACUCGGGUGAAGGAACUAGGCAAAAUGGUGCCGUAACUUCGGGAGAAGGCACGCUGAUAUGUAGGUGAAGCGACUUGCUCGUGGAGCUGAAAUCAGUCGAAGAUACCAGCUGGCUGCAACUGUUUAUUAAAAACACAGCACUGUGCAAACACGAAAGUGGACGUAUACGGUGUGACGCCUGCCCGGUGCCGGAAGGUUAAUUGAUGGGGUUAGCGGUAACGCGAAGCUCUUGAUCGAAGCCCCGGUAAACGGCGGCCGUAACUAUAACGGUCCUAAGGUAGCGAAAUUCCUUGUCGGGUAAGUUCCGACCUGCACGAAUGGCGUAAUGAUGGCCAGGCUGUCUCCACCCGAGACUCAGUGAAAUUGAACUCGCUGUGAAGAUGCAGUGUACCCGCGGCAAGACGGAAAGACCCCGUGAACCUUUACUAUAGCUUGACACUGAACAUUGAGCCUUGAUGUGUAGGAUAGGUGGGAGGCUUUGAAGUGUGGACGCCAGUCUGCAUGGAGCCGACCUUGAAAUACCACCCUUUAAUGUUUGAUGUUCUAACGUGGGCCCCUUACCGGGGUUGCGGACAGUGUCUGGUGGGUAGUUUGACUGGGGCGGUCUCCUCCUAAAGAGUAACGGAGGAGCACGAAGGUUGGCUAAUCCUGGUCGGACAUCAGGAGGUUAGUGCAAUGGCAUAAGCCAGCUUGACUGCGAGCGUGACGGCGCGAGCAGGUGCGAAAGCAGGUCAUAGUGAUCCGGUGGUUCUGAAUGGAAGGGCCAUCGCUCAACGGAUAAAAGGUACUCCGGGGAUAACAGGCUGAUACCGCCCAAGAGUUCAUAUCGACGGCGGUGUUUGGCACCUCGAUGUCGGCUCAUCACAUCCUGGGGCUGAAGUAGGUCCCAAGGGUAUGGCUGUUCGCCAUUUAAAGUGGUACGCGAGCUGGGUUUAGAACGUCGUGAGACAGUUCGGUCCCUAUCUGCCGUGGGCGCUGGAGAACUGAGGGGGGCUGCUCCUAGUACGAGAGGACCGGAGUGGACGCAUCACUGGUGUUCGGGUUGUCAUGCCAAUGGCACUGCCCGGUAGCUAAAUGCGGAAGAGAUAAGUGCUGAAAGCAUCUAAGCACGAAACUUGCCCCGAGAUGAGUUCUCCCUGACUCCUUGAGAGUCCUGAAGGAACGUUGAAGACGACGACGUUGAUAGGCCGGGUGUGUAAGCGCAGCGAUGCGUUGAGCUAACCGGUACUAAUGAACCGUGAGGCUUAACCUU